GCCCGAGUGGCGGAAUGGUAGACGCAGCGGAUUCAAAAUCCGCCGCCGCAAGGCUUGUCGGUUCGAGUCCGACCUCGGGUACCA
rnacentral:tRNA from 1 species